CUCAAACCUCGUUCGCGCCAUUCCUCGCAGCUCCUGUUCUCUCUCGCUCCAGUUCCGCUUCCAACGCCUCCUCUUCAUCUUCAUCUUCAUCUUCGUCGGAAUUGAACAUCACAUUCGCGCCCCCAAACUCUUGGCCCAAAUCCGAAGUUGAAGAUCCUUUUCAGUUCAUUGAUCGAAACACCGGUGGUCAGCUCAUCAUUCUUUGGAUAGUUCGCGGCGGAGAUGGCACUCUCAAGCUCCAAUAGCAUUCGCCUACACGGUUUCUUCAAUCCAUGUCGGAGGAUGAAACCUAGCCCAAGAAGAAGAAGAAGAAUUCUGCUGAUAAACGCGUACUGAGCCCCCAAGCAUUCGAAGGCUGCGCGUAGACUUUACAAUGAGAAUAUUAGGGAUUCGUUACAACGUCUCGUAAAGUUCUUGCUGCCGCUGGAGGUUUGUGCUUCUUACUCUUGAUAAGUUUUUUAAGUGUAUCUACCGAUCUUCCGAUGGUUGUUUGGUCAAAAUGCUAAUUAUGGCUUAUAGCUCGGCGUGUUCUGUUCCACAGCAUUCUUUUGUGCUUGUUAUUUACUCUUUACUUGUUUCUGUUUUGUGCUUGGUGUGGUGAUAGGAUGAGGAUUGUUGGUGGGGAGUCUUGCCUCGGCUAAUUCAUAGGUUUAUAACAAUAGAUGGUGCCUUUAGUAACCAGAACCUGAUAGCAAUUAGUGAGGCAACAAUAAUUGAUGGCUUCCAUUGCAUAUCAACCACUUAUUACUCAAAGGAGCACUUACAAGAAUCAAGGAAGAACCAUGAAGUUCGGGAACUUGUAAAAGCUGCUGGUCUAGAGAUUCCAGCUUUGCACCGACUACAAAAUUCCCAUCCGUUGUCACCAAAAUGAAGCAACAAAAAACAAACGGACAGCAGAGCCUCUCUUGUUAUACAGUACCACCAGAAUCGUCCUUCAGACUGACAAAAUGGAUAUCAUUCAACUGGAUAUUGAUACCAUCCAUUAACUCAAAACUCCAACAGACAUGCCAUGAAUCCUCUUGAAACAGGAGUGCAUUAGAGAACGCGAAUACAGAUGGUGCAUGGUUGUCAUCAACUCGUAUCGUAAGGUGUUGGGUUAAGUCUCGCAACAAGUGCAACUCUCAUGUUUAGUUGCCAACGGUUGAGGUUAGAACCCUGAGUAAACUACUGAUAAGCCGGAGAAAGGUGAGGAUGACGUCAAGAAUAAUUUUAGUCGAACAAAACGAGUAUCUCUAUAUAUGUAUUAACAAAAUUAUUAUUAUUAUUACGAUCGGCUGUAAAAAGUCAUUAAAUCUCUCCAAUAAACUUAUAACUUAUUGAGGAAUAAUUCAUCUCAAGUUGGUUAUGAGCAUAAAUAUUUCAAUAAAUGUCAAACAAUAAUUU